CUCCUUGCAUGGCUUGUUAGUAAAGGUUUUUGUUGAGUUUUAAGAACAGUUUUAAAAACAAACUCAACAAUUCAGAGAUUCAGUAACUGAGAACUGGCAAUGCAGAAUAAGAUGUGGCAUGCACAGGUGAGGACUGGAGGAACUGUGAGUGCCAGCUGGAGGAGAGAAGGCCAUGCCUGAACAGCCCACUCCCUAAGGAACCAGCAAGUGAUUCUUGAACAUUUAUGCCAGAGAAAUGAAGACUUAUCUUGACAUGAAAAUGAAUGGACGUUUAUUUGUAAUAGCCAAACCUGGAAACAAUCCAAGUGUCCUUCAACAGAUAAUCCAAGACGGAGGAGAAGCAUCUCCAUGGCACCUCACUCUGAUUUGCGAGGAUUUGGCCAGAGAAACUGUUCUCAAGAGUGUGAAUUAGGUGGCAGCUACUAUUUUAUGGUACCUCGCUAUCCACUUUGUAAGAGUCUCCGAGAGCAGAGGGAGCACAUCCCCUGACACCUCGCACAUGACAGUUGCUUCAUCAGUGCUGGUUGUGCUCCUGAGAACUCAGCAUGGAGAGAGGCCUAGUCCCCGCUCCCCUGCUCCCAAUUGCUCUGUGACUCAUUCUCACGGCUCGCCCUUCAGGUUCUCGUUCUUGAAUUUCUCCUGCUCCCUCCCACUCCCAGUCCUUUGCCAUGUCUCCCCUGUGCCUGGAACACUUUUUGAUGCAGGUCACCUCCAGGACUCUGCCACUUUCAAGUUGAGUGUUCCAGGUAGGUCACUGAACCCCUCUGAGUUUCAGUGUCUUUAUCUGUAAAGAUAAAAACUAGACAUAACCUUUGGCUGACUGGGAGAGUUGGGAUUGGAUAAGGCAAGUACUGAGUCCAAGGCCUGGCUCUGAGUCCCUGCCCCAGGGACAGCAGCUCCUGUGAUUUUGGUUCAUCAUGGUAGGUCCCUCCUUCUCUCUCUCUUCUUGGGAACUGCCACCAUCCUUUCUGUUCUUUAACCUGCUUCUCCGCCAAUAAAGGCAGAGUGGAACACUCUCUUCCUGGCUCCUAUUUCCUCGCUGCCUCCAAAGACAAGCCUGUCACCUCCCCACCCCGCCUGCCCACAUCUUUGUUUUACUAAAUGAAGGAAUAAUUAUAAAAAUUUUAGAACUUCAUCAGGUCCUACAAGCAUACACCUGAAUGAUAACUUCCCUGUUGGGAUAAUAGCUAGAAACUCUGUUGGGUGUUUGCCUCUUGCUCGAAUUCCUUAUUUUAUUUUAUUUUGAGCAAAAACACACAUUUAUUUACUAACCAAAGGCUGAUCCUAAUCUAAGCCAACACUUUAAAAUAGCUGCAUGUAAAAUAUUUGUGAUGAAGAUAAUUAAACACAGUAAUGAAAAAAAUAAAAACAAAAACAAGCAGGAUGGAGAUAUGUUCAUUGAACUGAAAUUGUUCCUUCUCUCAGCUAAUUGCUCUCCAAAGCAGUAAGGAAAUUUUUAUUCUGCUUUUUUUAUUUUCACAGAUCUGAG
rnacentral:lncRNA from 10 species